UACGGAGGGUGCAAGCGUUAUCCGGAUUCACUGGGUUUAAAGGGUGCGUAGGUGGGCAGGUAAGUCAGUGGUGAAAUCUCCGGGCUUAACCCGGAACUGCCGUUGAUACUAUUUGUCUUGAAUAUAGUGGAGGUGAGCGGAAUAUGUCAUGUAGCGGUGAAAUGCUUAGAUAUGACAUAGAACACCAAUUGCGAAGGCAGCUUGCUACACUAUUAUUGACACUGAGGCACGAAAAGCGUGGGGAUCGAAACAGG
rnacentral:rRNA from 1 species